GGGUUGUGAGGUUAAGCGACUAAGCGUACACGGUGGAUGCCCUGGCAGUCAGAGGCGAUGAAGGGCGUGCUAAUCUGCGAUAAGCGCCGGUAAGGUGAUAUGAACCGUUAUAACCGGCGAUACCCGAAUGGGGAAACCCAGUGUGACUCGUCACACUAUCAUUAACUGAAUCCAUAGGUUAAUGAGGCGAACCGGGGGAACUGAAACAUCUAAGUACCCCGAGGAAAAGAAAUCAACCGAGAUUCCCCCAGUAGCGGCGAGCGAACGGGGAGGAGCCCAGAGCCUGAAUCAGCAUGUGUGUUAGUGGAAGCGUCUGGAAAGGCGCGCGAUACAGGGUGACAGCCCCGUACACAAAAGCGCAUGUGCUGUGAGCUCGAUGAGUAGGGCGGGACACGUGGUAUCCUGUCUGAAUAUGGGGGGACCAUCCUCCAAGGCUAAAUACUCCUGACUGACCGAUAGUGAACCAGUACCGUGAGGGAAAGGCGAAAAGAACCCCGGCGAGGGGAGUGAAAAAGAACCUGAAACCGUGUACGUACAAGCAGUGGGAGCACCCUUUGGGGUGUGACUGCGUACCUUUUGUAUAAUGGGUCAGCGACUUAUAUUCUGUAGCAAGGUUCAC
rnacentral:rRNA from 1 species